CAGUAGCCACGGUAAAACGGAGGGGGCUAGCGUUGUUCGGAAUUACUGGGCGUAAAGCGCACGUAGGCGGCUUUGUAAGUCAGAGGUGAAAGCCCGGGGCUCAACCCCGGAAUUGCCUUUGAGACUGCAUCGCUUGAAUCCAGGAGAGGUGAGUGGAAUUCCGAGUGUAGAGGUGAAAUUCGUAGAUAUUCGGAAGAACACCAGUGGCGAAGGCGGCUCACUGGACUGGUAUUGACGCUGAGGUGCGAAAGCGUGGGGAGCGAACAGGAUUAGAUACCCCCGUAGUCCCUGUCUCUUAUAC
rnacentral:rRNA from 1 species